rnacentral:rRNA from 1 species
UAGGGAAUCUUCCACAAUGGACGAAAGUCUGAUGGAGCAACGCCGCGUGAGUGAUGAAGGGUUUCGGCUCGUAAAACUCUGUUGUUGGAGAAGAACAGGUGUGAGAGUAACUGUUCACAUCUUGACGGUAUCCAACCAGAAAGCCACGGCUAACUACGUGCCAGCAGCCGCGGUAAUACGUAGGUGGCAAGCGUUGUCCGGAUUUAUUGGGCGUAAAGCGAGCGCAGGCGGUUUCUUAGGUCUGAUGUGAAAGCCUUCGGCUUAACCGGAGAAGUGCAUCGGAAACCAGGAGACUUGAGUGCAGAAGAGGACAGUGGAACUCCAUGUGUAGCGGUGAAAUGCGUAGAUAUAUGGAAGAACACCAGUGGCGAAGGCGGCUGUCUGGUCUGUAACUGACGCUGAGGCUCGAAAGCAUGGGUAGCGAACAGG